GCUUCCCGGGACGCAAGUCCCCUGAAGACCCGUUGGAGACUACAACGUUGAUAGGCCGGGUGUGUAAGCGCAGUAAUGCGUUCAGCUAACCGGUACUAAUCGGUCGUGAGGCUUACUUUC
rnacentral:rRNA from 1 species